UACAGAGGUGCUCAAGCGUUGUUCGGGAUUCAUUGGGCGUAAAGGGUGCGUAGGCGGCGAGGCAAGUCUGGUGGUGAAAGUCCCGGGGCUCAACCCCCGGGAACUGCACUGGAUACUGCUUUGCUAGAGUACUGGAGAGGGAACUGGAAUUUACGGUGUAGCAGUGAAAUGCGUAGAUAUCGUAAGGAAGACCAGCGGCGAAGGCGAGUUCCUGGACAGUUACUGGACGCUGAGGCACGAAGGCCAGGGGAGCAAACGGG
rnacentral:rRNA from 1 species